rnacentral:rRNA from 1 species
UGCCAGCCGCCGCGGUAACACGGGGGGCGCAAGCGUUAUUCGGAAUUAUUGGGCGUAAAGGGCGCGCAGGCGGUUUGUUAAGCUAGACGUGAAAGCCCCGGGCUUAACCUGGGAAUUGCAUUCGAUACUGCAGAGCUAGAGUAUGGUAGAGGGAAGUGGAAUUCCGGGUGUAGCGGUGAAAUGCGUAGAUAUCCGGAGGAACACCAGUGGCGAAGGCGACUUCCUGGGCCAAUACUGACGCUGAGGUGCGAAAGCGUGGGGAGCAAACAGGAUUAGAUA